rnacentral:rRNA from 1 species
UGGGGAAUAUUGCGCAAUGGGGGAAACCCUGACGCAGCAACGCCGCGUGAAGGAAGAAGGCUUUCGGGUUGUAAACUUCUGUCGUUGGGGAAGAAAAAAAUGACGGUACCCAAUAAGAAAGCCACGGCUAACUACGUGCCAGCAGCCGCGGUAAUACGUAGGUGGCGAGCGUUGUCCGGAAUUAUUGGGCGUAAAGGGCGCGUAGGCGGCCCGGCAAGUCAGAUGUGAAACCCCCAGGCUUAACCUGGGGCAUGCAUUUGAAACUGCUGGGCUUGAGUGCAGGAGAGGUAAGUGGAAUUCCUAGUGUAGCGGUGAAAUGCGUAGAUAUUAGGAGGAACACCAGUGGCGAAGGCGACUUACUGGACUGUAACUGACGCUGAGGCGCGAAAGCGUGGGGAGCAAACAGG